rnacentral:sRNA from 19 species
CCCAGAGGUAUUGAUUGGUGAUAUAUCGAUGUGCUCUGUACAUUGAAACCAUUUGAUUACACCAACCUACGCGGAUGCGUAGGUUUUUUUU